rnacentral:sRNA from 1 species
AGUUUCCUUGUAUAAUGAUUAUGUAAGAAGUUUUAAGGGCGGUGGCUGUCUUUUUCCUUGAGAGGUGAAGUCUAUGGAAACAUGGAAUAAUCUUGAGAAAGGUUUCACAGUCAUGAGUGUCUUUCAGGCACUCUCGUUGAUGUUGCUGUCUGGCACGUUUUUAAUCGCGCUGCUCAGCUAUAU